AUGUUCUCAGACGGUGAAUCUUUGAAAACUCUCAGAGGAUGGUGGUUUGGAAAUCCAGCCUCCACCAAGCCCUUCUCAGGCCUGUCAGAGCCAGGGUCUUGGGGCUGGAGUGAACACAGUGUGCUGAGGUCUUGAUCUGGGAGACACCUCGAUCAAGGACCUGGGAAGCUUCAUAUUUAAGAAAUGGAAGAUAAGGAGGGCCCGAAGAGGGGCCCGAACUGCCUGAAACCAGAAAUCAGAGAUGCAGCCCAGAAGAGCCAACUGGAGCCCAGCCUGUUGACUUUCUGCUGAAGUCAACAACCUCCUCCCCCGACCUGGGACAGGGGAUCCAGAGAGAGGAGGGAGAUCCAUGGGACACCCGUCGAGCUGAUCUUGCUCUUACUGAAAACCCGAGGUCCCCAGCUUCAGGACUCAGCUGGGAGUCUCAGUGGAGAGGCAACACUGCUGAGGAAAAGGCCUUCUGGGAAUCCUUUGGAAGCAGCGCAAUACAGGGAAGAAGGGAACGUGAAUUUUGGAGUCUUGCGGCCCUCCUCUGAACUCUGGCU